UACGUAGGGUGCGAGCGUUAAUCGGAAUUACUGGGCGUAAAGCGUGCGCAGGCGGUUCGUUGUGUCGGUGGUGAAAGCCCCGGGCUUAACCUGGGAAUGGCCAUGGAAACUGGCGAACUGGAGUGUGGCAGGGGGGGGUGGAAUUCCGCGUGUAGCAGUGAAAUGCGCAGAUAUCAGGAAGAACACCCGUGGCGAAAGCAGCUCUCUGGGACGGUACUGACGCUGAGACGCGAAAGCGUGGGGAGCGAACAGG
rnacentral:rRNA from 1 species